rnacentral:rRNA from 1 species
UGGGGAAUAUUGCACAAUGGGCGCAAGCCUGAUGCAGCCAUGCCGCGUGUAUGAAGAAGGCCUUCGGGUUGUAAAGCACUUUCAGCGAGGAGGAAGGGUAGUGUGUUAAUAGCACAUUGCAUUGACGUUACUCGCAGAAGAAGCACCGGCUAACUCCGUGCCAGCAGCCGCGGUAAUACGGAGGGUGCAAGCGUUAAUCGGAAUUACUGGGCGUAAAGCGCACGCAGGCGGUUUGUUAAGUCAGAUGUGAAAUCCCCGCGCUUAACGUGGGAACUGCAUUUGAAACUGGCAAGCUAGAGUCUUGUAGAGGGGGGUAGAAUUCCAGGUGUAGCGGUGAAAUGCGUAGAGAUCUGGAGGAAUACCGGUGGCGAAGGCGGUCCCCUGGACAAAGACUGACGCUCAGGUGCGAAAGCGUGGGGAGCAAACA